rnacentral:rRNA from 1 species
UGAAUACGAGACGCUAAGGCGUCGAAGUAGUGUAUGUCAUACUUCCAAGAAAAGCUUGCACUGUCAUAGAUAAAAAACGCCUGUACCAUAACCGACACAGGUGGGUAGGUAGAGUAUACUAAGGGGCGCGAGAUAACUCUCUCUAAGGAACUCGGCAAAAUAACUCCGUAACUUCGGGAGAAGGAGUGCCUUAUUCGUAAGGUUGCAAUAACAAGAUCCAAGCAACUGUUUAUCAAAAACACAGGUCUCCGCUAAGUCGUAAGACGAUGUAUGGGGGCUGACGCCUGCCCAGUGCCAGAAGGUUAAAGAAGUUGGUUAGCAAUUGCGAAGCUGAUAACUGAAGCCCUGGUGAACGGCGGCCGUAACUAUAACGGUCCUAAGGUAGCGAAAUUCCUUGUCGGGUAAGUUCCGACCCGCACGAAAGGCGUAAUGAUUUGGAUACUGUCUCGGAGAGGGGCUCGGUGAAAUAGACUUGUCUGUGAAGAUGCGGACUACCUGCACCAGGACAGAAAGACCCUAUGAAGCUUUACUGUAACUUGAAAUUGAAAUUGGACUUUAUUCGCGCAGUAUAGGUGGGAGGCGUUGAUUAUAAUCUUGUGGGAUUAUUGGAGCCAUCAGUGAGAUACCACUCUUGUAAUGUUAGAUUUCUAACUUUGAAUCAUUAUCUGGUCAAAGAACAGUUUCAGGCGGGCAGUUUGACUGGGGCGGUCGCCUCCUAAACGGUAACGGAGGCGUACAAAGGUUUCCUCUGAACGGUUAGAAAUCGUAUCUAGAGUGUAAAGGCAUAAGGAAGCUUGACUGUGAGACCUACAAGUCGAGCAGGGACGAAAGUCGGUCUUAGUGAUCUGACGGUACUGAGUGGAAAGGCCGUCACUCAACGGAUAAAAGUUACUCUAAGGAUAACAGGCUGAUCUCCCCCAAGAGUUCACAUCGACGGGGAGGUUUGGCACCUCGAUGUCGGCUCAUCGCAUCCUGGGGCGGUAGUACGUCCCAAGGGUUGGGCUGUUCGCCCAUGAAAGCGGUACGCGAGCUGGGUUCAGAACGUCGUGAGACAGUUCGGUCCAUAUCCGGUGUAGGCGUUAGAAUAUUGAGAGGAGCCUUCUUUAGUACGAGAGGACCGAGAAGGACAUACCUCUGGUGUACCAGUUAUCGUGCCAACGGUAAACGCUGGGUAGCUAUGUAUGGAGUGGAUAACCGCUGAAAGCAUCUAAGUGGGAAGCCCACCUCAAGAUAAGUACUCUCA